GAGGGCAUCAGAUCCCCUGGACCUGGCUCAUGGCCUCUGAAUGCUUAGUGCAAGGUGCUACUCCUGAUCUCUCUCCAGCCCUGUGAAGAGAUUCUUUUCUUUUAUCCAUCUGUCAUUUGGGAUGGAGGGUGCAGCUAUGACCUUUGAAAAGGGUGACUCUAAUUCAUGCAGGUUGACAGUUGAAACUAACCACAGAAGAUGUACAGUUUAAAGGCGUGAAAAGUACUGGCCAUGGACCUACUUCCUCACACCUUGAAUUAUAUUUGAGUCUCCAAGAACCGAGAGCAUGCAUCUGAGAGAUCCUCAAAGAAGCUGAAGAUGGGGACAGACAAGAUGGCUUACAGAUAGACAAAAUGGCCUACUAAGUAAAGGUACUGGCGCCCAAUCUGAUGAGCUGAGCUGAGUUCCCGUAACCCACAUCCUGGAAGGGGAGAUCCAAGCUGUUCUCAGAGCAUAACACAGGUCUGAAAGGUCCCAGCAAGAAGACUGAAGAAACACUGGUUCAGUAAUUAUGAGAAGGCAUUCUGAAAUGGGUGCCUGAAACCUUUGAGCUCAAAAUGUUGGCUGGCCCAUGGCUUCCUGAAAUCACUGCAAUUGGUGGGUGUUAUUAAAUCCUAAUAAAAAGUGUAAAA